UCCCCUAGUAACGGCGAGUGAAGCGGGAAGAGCUCAAGCUUAAAAUCUCCGUGCAAGUUUUGCGCGGCGAAUUGUAGUCUAUAGAGGCGUGGUCAGCGUGGGCGCUUGGGGCAAGUUCCUUGGAAGAGGACAGCAUGGAGGGUGAUACUCCCGUUCAUCCCUGAGUGGCUCGUGCGUACGACCCGUUUUCUUUGAGUCGCGUUGUUUGGGAAUGCAGCGCAAAGUAGGUGGUAAAUUCCAUCUAAAGCUAAAUAUUGGUGCGAGACCGAUAGCGAACAAGUACCGUGAGGGAAAGAUGAAAAGAACUUUGAAAAGAGAGUUAAAGAGUACCUGAAACUGCUGAAAGGGAACCGAAUCGUUUCCAGUGUCUAUAAUCCGUGGCAUAUUUCAUUGGCGAGCGUUUGCGUGCGUGUGCUGUGGCAGUGGCUUUUUUGGCUGCGCCUGGCGUGUGUGCUGUGAGUGUUUGCUGGUGCCCUGUGCUGCGGUGGGACGUCAAGGUCAGUUCGUAUGCUGCGGGAAAUGGCUGCCGAGGAGGUAGGGCUUACGCUCCGCGUUUGUCUGUUAUAUCUUGGUGGACGAGUCGUCGUGGUUGGGACUGAGGUGCCUACAACGUGCUUUUGAGUGGUUUGUGUCUCCGUGUGCGCCGUGUGCGGAUAGCUUGCUAUGCGUGUGUGGUUGUGUGUGGAUUGAUGCGGGCUUUAACUUGUCGCCGUUCGGGACGUUGACGAAAUGGAGCGAUCCGACCCGUCUUGAAACACGGACCAAGGAGUCUAACAUGUGUGCAAGUGUUAGGGUGUGGAAACCCCAGCGCGAAAUGAAAGUGAAGGGCAGCGCAAGUUGUCUGAGGUAGGAAACGUUGCGGGCCUCGGUCUGCGGCGUGGCACUAUCGACCGAUCAUGAACCUUCGUGGAGAAAGAUUUGAGUUUGAGCACAUAUGUUGGUACCCGAAAGAUGGUGAACUAUGCCUGAGUAGGGUGAAGCCAGGGGAAACUCUGGUGGAAGCUCGUAGCGAUUCUGACGUGCAAAUCGAUCGUCAAACUUGGGUAUAGGGGCGAAAGACUAAUCGAACCAUCUAGUAGCUGGUUCCCUCCGAAAUUUCCCUCAGGAUAGCAGCAACUUAUUUACGAUAGUUUUAUGAGGUAAAGCGAAUGAUUAGAGGAUUCGGGGAAGAAACUUCCUCGACCUAUUCUCAAACUUUAAAUCUGUAAGACCUGCAGGUUUCUUAAUU
rnacentral:rRNA from 1 species